rnacentral:misc_RNA from 1 species
CGCACAUUGCGCCCUUUGGUAUUCCGAAGGGCAUGCCUGUUCGAGCGUCAUUAUCACCCCUCAAGCCCGGCUUGUUGUUGGAUGCAGCGCCUGACGUUUCGUCGGUCGCUCUUCCCAAAGAUAAUGACGGCGUCUGUGAGGACUCCUGUACACUGAGCUUUCGGGCACGUACUGGGCUAGAAAUCCAAACGCCGGUCACCGUCUCCGUCAAACGAGACAAACUUAUACCAAGGUUGACCUCGGAUCAGGUAGGAAUACCCGCUGAACUUAA